rnacentral:rRNA from 1 species
CAAACCGACACAGGUAGUCAAGAUGAGAAUUCUAAGGUGAGCGAGCGAACUCUCGUUAAGGAACUCGGCAAAAUGACCCCGUAACUUCGGGAGAAGGGGUGCUCUUUAGGGUUAACGCCCAGAAGAGCCGCAGUGAAUAGGCCCAAGCGACUGUUUAUCAAAAACACAGGUCUCUGCUAAACCGUAAGGUGAUGUAUAGGGGCUGACGCCUGCCCGGUGCUGGAAGGUUAAGAGGAGUGGUUAGCUUCUGCGAAGCUACGAAUCGAAGCCCCAGUAAACGGCGGCCGUAACUAUAACGGUCCUAAGGUAGCGAAAUUCCUUGUCGGGUAAGUUCCGACCCGCACGAAAGGCGUAACGAUUUGGGCACUGUCUCAACGAGAGACUCGGUGAAAUCAUAGUACCUGUGAAGAUGCAGGUUACCCGCGACAGGACGGAAAGACCCCGUGGAGCUUUACUGUAGCCUGAUAUUGAAAUUCGGCACAGCUUGUACAGGAUAGGUAGGAGCCUUUGAAACGUGAGCGCUAGCUUACGUGGAGGCGCUGGUGGGAUACUACCCUAGCUGUGUUGGCUUUCUAACCCGCACCACUUAUCGUGGUGGGAGACAGUGUCAGGCGGGCAGUUUGACUGGGGCGGUCGCCUCCUAAAAGGUAACGGAGGCGCUCAAAGGUUCCCUCAGAAUGGUUGGAAAUCAUUCAUAGAGUGUAAAGGCAUAAGGGAGCUUGACUGCGAGACCUACAAGUCGAG